GGUCAAGCGAACAAGUGCAUGUGGUGGAUGCCUUGGCGAUCACAGGCGAUGAAGGACGCGGUAGCCUGCGAAAAGCUACGGGGAGCUGGCAAACGAGCUUUGAUCCGUAGAUGUCCGAAUGGGGAAACCCGGCCCUUUUGGGUCAUCCUGGACUGAAUACAUAGGUCCAGUGAAGCGAACGCGGUGAACUGAAACAUCUAAGUAACCGCAGGAAAAGAAAUCAACCGAGAUUCCCAAAGUAGUGGCGAGCGAAAUGGGAUGAGCCUUGCACUCUUUAUUUGUAUUGUUAGCCGAACGCUCUGGAAAGUGCGGCCAUAGCAGGUGAUAGCCCUGUAGGCGAAAACAGUAUGAAAGAACUAGGUGUGCGACAAGUAGGGCGGGACACGUGAAAUCCUGUCUGAAGAUGGGGGGACCAUCCUCCAAGGCUAAAUACUCGUGAUCGACCGAUAGUGAACCAGUACCGUGAGGGAAAGGCGAAAAGAACCCCGGGAGGGGAGUGAAAUAGAUCCUGAAACCGCAUGCAUACAAACAGUCGGAGCCUCGUAAGGGGUGACGGCGUACCUUUUGUAUAAUGGGUCAGCGACUUACGUUCAGUAGCAAGCUUAACCGUAUAGGGCAGGCGUAGCGAAAGCGAGUCCGAAUAGGGCGUUCAGUUGCUGGGCGUAGACCCGAAACCAGGUGAUCUAUCCAUGGCCAGGAUGAAGGUGCGGUAACACGUACUGGAGGUCCGAACCCACUAACGUUGAAAAGUUAGGGGAUGAGCUGUGGAUAGGGGUGAAAGGCUAAACAAACCUGGAAAUAGCUGGUUCUCUCCGAAAACUAUUUAGGUAGUGCCUCGUGUCUCACCUUCGGGGGUAGAGCACUGUCAUGGUUGGGGGGUCUAUUGCAGAUUACCCCGCCAUAGCAAACUCCGAAUACCGAAGAGUGCAAUCACGGGAGACAGACAUCGGGUGCUAACGUCCGGUGUCAAGAGGGAAACAACCCAGACCGCCAGCUAAGGUCCCCAAAUAUAGCUAAGUGGGAAACGAAGUGGGAAGGCUAAAACAGUCAGGAGGUUGGCUUAGAAGCAGCCACCCUUUAAAGAAAGCGUAAUAGCUCACUGAUCGAGUCGUCCUGCGCGGAAGAUGUAACGGGGCUAAGCUAUAUACCGAAGCUGCGGAUGCGUGCUUUGCACGCAUGGUAGGAGAGCGUUCCGUAAGCCUGCGAAGGUGCGUUGAAAAGCGUGCUGGAGGUAUCGGAAGUGCGAAUGCUGACAUGAGUAGCGAUAAAGGGGGUGAAAGGCCCCCUCGCCGUAAGCCCAAGGUUUCCUACGCAACGUUCAUCGGCGUAGGGUGAGUCGGCCCCUAAGGCGAGGCAGAAAUGCGUAGCUGAUGGGAAGCAGGUCAAUAUUCCUGCACCAUUGUUAGAUGCGAUGGGGGGACGGAUCGCGGAAGGUUGUCCGGGUGUUGGAAGUCCCGGUCGCUGCAUUGGAGAAGGCACUUAGGCAAAUCCGGGUGCGUAAUUCAAGGGUGUGGCGCGAGCUCCCUAGGGAGCGAAGCAAUUGGAAGUGGUUCCAAGAAAAGCCUCUAAGCUUCAGUCUAACGAUGACCGUACCGCAAACCGACACAGGUGGGCGAGAUGAG
rnacentral:rRNA from 1 species